rnacentral:misc_RNA from 1 species
GAUGAAGAACGCAGCGAAAUGCGAUAAGUAGUGUGAAUUGCAGAAUUCAGUGAAUCAUCGAAUCUUUGAACGCACAUUGCGCCCCUUGGUAUCCCGAGGGGCAUGCCUGUUCGAGCGUCAUUUCACCACUCAAGCCUGGCUUGGUGUUGGGCGACGUCCCCUUUAGAGACGCGCCUCGAAACGCUCGGCGGCGUGGCACCGGCUUUAAGCGUAGCAGAAUCUUUCGCUUUGGAAGUCGGGGCCCCGCCUGCCGGAAUACCUACUCGUAAGGUUGACCUCGGAUCAGGCAGGGAUACCCGCUGAACUUAAGCAUAUCAAUAAGCGGAGGA